rnacentral:rRNA from 1 species
UACAGAGGGUGCGAGCGUUAAUCGGAAUUACUGGGCGUAAAGGGCGCGUAGGUGGUUAAUUAAGUCAGAUGUGAAAUCCCCGGGCUUAACCUGGGAAUGGCAUAUGAAACUGAUUGACUAGAGUUUGGGAGAGGGAAGUGGAAUUUCAGGUGUAGCGGUGAAAUGCGUAGAUAUCUGAAGGAACAUCAGUGGCGAAGGCGACUUCCUGGCCCGAUACUGACACUGAGGCGCGAAAGCGUGGGGAGCAAACAGG